ACGCUCGACACCUACGGAAGGCAGCAGUGGGGAAUAUUGCACAAUGGGGGAAACCCGUGAUGCAGCGACGCCGCGUGAAGGAUGAAGUAUUUCGGUAUGUAAACUUCUAUCAGCAGGGAAGAAAGUGACGGUACCUGACUAAGAAGCCCCGGCUAACUACGUGCCAGCAGCCGUGGUAAUCUGAGCGGGCUGGCAAGGC
rnacentral:rRNA from 1 species